UACAGGGGGGGCAAGCGUUGUUCGGAAUUACUGGGCGUAAAGCGUGCGCAGGCGGUUAUGCAAGACAGAUGUGAAAUCCCCGGGCUUAACCUGGGAACCGCAUUUGUGACUGCAUAGCUGGAGUACGGCAGAGGGGGAUGGAAUUCCGCGUGUAGCAGUGAAAUGCGUAGAUAUGCGGAGGAACACCGAUGGCGAAGGCAGUCCCCUGGGCCUGUACUGACGCUCAUGCACGAAAGCGUGGGGAGCAAACAGG
rnacentral:rRNA from 1 species